AGUGAACGCUGGCGGUAGGCCUAACACAUGCAAGUCGAACGGCAGCACAGUAAGAGCUUGCUCUUACGGGUGGCGAGUGGCGGACGGGUGAGGAAUACAUCGGAAUCUACUUUUUCGUGGGGGAUAACGUAGGGAAACUUACGCUAAUACCGCAUACGACCUACGGGUGAAAGCAGGGGAUCUUCGGACCUUGCGCGAUUGAAUGAGCCGAUGUCGGAUUAGCUAGUUGGCGGGGUAAAGGCCCACCAAGGCGACGAUCCGUAGCUGGUCUGAGAGGAUGAGCGGCCACACUGGAACUGAGACACGGUCCAGACGCCUACGGGAGGCAGCAGUAGGGAAUCUUCCGCAAUGGGCGAAAGGCUGACGGAGCAAGGCCGAGAGAGUGAUGAAGGUCUUCGGAUCGUAAAACUCUGUUAUUAGGGAAGAAAAAAUGUGUAAGUAACCAUGCACGUCUUGAAGGUACCUAAUAAGAAAGCCACGGCUAACUACGUG
rnacentral:rRNA from 1 species